rnacentral:lncRNA from 1 species
GGUUCAUGCUGUGAGCUGGCAAUUCCACUGCAGACAGGCAGCUGUCAUUGAGGAAUUCCUUUCUGUUUAGUAUUCCUUUAGAUUAAAUUCAGUUUAUACAGAAUUUAAAAUCAGAGCAGUCAGUUCCUGUUACUGUAGAGUUUCUGAAGUUUGCCAGAGUAUUGAUGGAAGAAAACAGAUUGCAAAUACUACUUUUUUUUUAAUGCCUAAAGGGGAUGAAUGAUUAUAGAAGAGUCUUCAGGAGACACCAAAAACCAUGGAGUAAUCUAGAAAAUUAUAUACCAGCACCUUAUUUUAUAGGACCCUGCCUGAUGAGUGUUACCUUGACCCAGAUACCAUACGAACAGCAAAUAAGCUGUUGAAGUAAAGUUCCAUCUGGGAAGCAGUCAAGACAGGGACUGACCUGUAUAUUCUCAAAGUUUAUAAUCUCAACGGAUACAAGUCUUUCAAAUGCUUGGGUGUUUGUCUUGCCAAAACAAGCUGAGAAAUAUCACCUAAAAAUAGAUCUGUCUUCUGGCUCCCUGUUUGCUUUAGGAAAGUCUGCAUUGAGCUCAAGUGUCAAUCAGAUAAAUUUGGGGAAGAACUUUUUGCCUGAAGAUGCUACUUACGUCAUUUCACCAGCACAUACACUGGAUUGGUUAACAUCAUCUACACACCAACCUUGUUCUACUUCCAGAUACUUUGCAGACAACCCUUUCAAAGUUGAUUAUGGCUGUGGAAGGUCCCUAAGUACAGGUGAUGAAGAGAUUUGCUGAUUAAAGAGGCCCACCUGUGACUCUCACUCUACAGCUCCCAGUACUACAACUGUAAUGUGUGAGUUCGGUCCUUUUGAAAACAAUGUGGCAAAACUGUGGUGAUUCAGGUCUUCUAAAGUAAUUUGAUUAUAAAGGAAUUAAUGUCCUUGAUGAUCACUUAACACGUUAAAACUGUAUGAAGUUGCAAACAGGUUCUGUAAUAGAACACCAAGUACAUUGUUCAUGGGCU